AUGAAGCCCGCUGUGCGGGUGGCAACACACAAUGCUGCGUUUUGCGGAAUGCCGUUGUCGUUGUUUUAAUUUUU
rnacentral:misc_RNA from 1 species